UACGGAGGAUGCAAGCGUUAUCCGGAAUGAUUGGGCGUAAAGCGUCCGCAGGUGGCUAUGUAAGUCUGCUGUUAAAGAGUGAGGCUCAACCUCAUAAGAGCAGUGGAAACUACAUGGCUAGAGUGCGUUCGGGGCAGAGGGAAUUCCUGGUGUAGCGGUGAAAUGCGUAGAGAUCAGGAAGUACACCGGUGGCGAAAGCGCUCUGCUAGGCCGCAACUGACACUCAUGGACGAAAGCUAGGGGAGCGAAUGGG
rnacentral:rRNA from 1 species